ensembl:lncRNA
GACCCCCAGGUUAUGGGGCGGGGGGUGGCACCUACCCCAUAACCCCAGCUUGGGGGGGGUGGGGGGGGUGGGUGGCACCAGGGUCCCCCAGAAGGACAUCCGUGGGGUGACAUGUCCCCCAUAACCCCAGCUAUGGGGUGGGAUGUCCCCCCCCAGGACACCAGCUAUGGGGUGGCACGUCCCCCGUGUCCCCCAGAAGCUCAUCCAUGGGGUGGCAUGUCCCCAGGGUCCCUGGCCAUGGGGUGGCACGGCCCCAAAAGCCCAUCCAUGGGGUGGGAUGUCCCCCCAGGACACCAGAACCCCAGCUAUGGGGUGGCAUGUCCCUCAGGGCACCAGCCGUGGGGUGGCACGUCCCCCCUCUCCCCCAGAAGCCCACGUAUGGGGUGGCAUGUCCCCCAAGACACCAGCCGUGGGGUGGCGUGUCACCAGUGUCCCCCAGAAGGCCAUCCAUGGGGUGACAUGUCCCCCAAGACACCAGCCAUGGGGUGGCACAUCCCUCAGGUCAUCAGCUAUGGGGUGGCAUGUCCCCCAGAAGGCCAUCCAUGGGGUGGGAUGUCCCCCAAGACACCAGCCGUGGGGUGGCACGUCCCCCAUGUCCCCCAGAAUCCAUCCAUGGGGUGGCAUGUCCCCCCAGGACACCAGAACCCCAGCUAUGGGGUGGCAUGUCCCUCAAGACACCAGCCGUGGGGUGGCACGUCCCCCCUCUCCCCCAGAAGCCCACGUAUGGGGUGGCAUGUCCCCCAAGACACCAGCCGUGGGGUGGCGUGUCACCAGUGUCCCCCAGAAGGCCAUCCAUGGGGUGACAUGUCCCCCAAGACACCAGCCAUGGGGUGGCACGUCCCCCAUGUCCCCCAGAAUCCAUCCAUGGGGUGGCAUGUCCCCAGUGUCCCCCAGAACCCCGUCCAUGGGGUGGGAUGUCCCUCAGGGCACCAGCCGUGGGGUGGGAUGUCCCCCAGAACCCCAUCCAUGGGGUGGCAUGUCCCCAGUGUCCCUGGCCAUGGGGUGGCACGUCCCCCAGAAGGCCAUCCAUGGGGUAGCACGUCCCCCCUGUCCCCCAGAACCCCAUCUAUGGGGUGACAUGUCCCCCAGGACACCAGCCAUGGGGUGGCACGUCCCUCGGGUCAUCAGCUAUGGGGUGGCAUGUCCCCCAGAAGGCCAUCUAUGGGGUGACAUGUCCCUCAGGGCACCAGCCGUGGGGUGGCAUGUCCCCCCUGUCCCCCAGAAGGCCAGCUAUGGGGUGGCACGUCCCCCAAGACACCAGCCGUGGGGAGGGAUGUCCCCCCUGUCCCCCAGAAUCCAUCCAUGGGGUGGCAUGUCCCCAGGGUCCCUGGCCAUGGGGUGGCACGUCCCCCCAGGACACUCAGCCGUGGGGUGGCAUGUCCCCCAUGUCCCCCAGGACAUCAGCUAUGGGGUGGGAUGUCCCCAGGGUCCCUGGCCAUGGGGUGGCACGUCCCUCAGAAGGCCAUCCAUGGGGUGACAUGUCCCUCAGGUCACCAGCUGUGGGGUGGCACGUCCCCCAGAAGCCCACAUAUGGGGUGGCACGUCCCCCAAGACACCAGCCAUGGGGUGGCGUGUCCCCCCCGUCCCCCAGAAGCUCAUCCAUGGGGUGGGAUGUCCCUCAGGACACCAGCCGUGGGGUGACACGUCCCCAUGAUGCCCCAUGGG